rnacentral:lncRNA from 1 species
GAGGAAGAUGUUCAAAGAGAAGAAGAAAUUGCCACGCUGAGUAACUCCAGUCUGAAUUCCAGUGAGGGACUUACAGCAGGCUGCACUGCCUCCACGGAGCCUUCCUCAAUACCGAACUCCCAGAUUAUUUGAUAACUAUAUUGCCAUCAUCUCCUGUGAGCGAUGGUGGAAUGACAAUGAUAACUUCAAUGCUGAGUACAGCAAGAACAGGCUCGGCUUGCCAAGAUGGAGGUGGCAGAUAGGAGUUUUACCAAACAAUAUACAAUAGAGACACCAUCCUCCAGAUUUAAAGGAGUAUCAGAAGGUUCAUGAAGAAGUCUUACAAGAAUAUCAGCCAAUAGAGCACUGCAGUCCUGAUUACCAAGAAACAUACAGACAAGAGUAUCUUUGUGACAACUGGCUCACACCAAAAGAUUAAUGGUGGCUUUGACCAACAGCAAGCAGUCAUGGUUCCAGCACUCUGCUUGGACCAGAAGAUGUGAAUUAAUUUAAGUUUAUUUAUUUAAAAUUCCAAAUGAGUUGUUCUAAAUUCUAAAGAGAUGCAAGUUGGCCUGGUGAAAGUUUCAGUAUUAGUAAACUUGAGUCCCCACAUCCCCGUUUUACUUUGCUUCCCUGCAUUUGAAGCUGCUUUUUCUGGCUAUUUUUUCACCUUUUUAAGACUUGUGUUUGUUAAUAGAAAUGUUUUUUGAUUUUAGAGCUCCAGUAUCCACACUUCAAAUCAAUUUAUUUCCUUGAAAAACUUGUUUGUCAUUAGAAAUGAUUUUUAGUAAAUAUUUUGGGCUCCAAUAUCCACACUUAAAAGUUGUGUGUGUGUUUAUUUUAAAGUAAUAUGCGGGUUGGGUUAUAGCUCAGUGAUACAGCACUUGCCCACCAUGUAUGAU